rnacentral:ncRNA from 1 species
CGCUGAUCGACAACGCUCUGAGCAAGAAACCGCAGGUGGUGCGUAUCGAGCCCACCGACAAGGCGUUCAAGACGGAUGGUUGCCAGCCGUGGCAGAGCACGCCGGACGCCGAAGUGCCGAACGCGCUCCCGGGGCCGGCGGCCGGUGGUCAAUUGCAGACCAACCUCGGCACCCUCAACGGUUUGCUCGGCCCGAACGGAAUGCAGGUA